GAAAUGCGAUAAGUAGUGUGAAUUGCAGAAUUCAGUGAAUCAUCGAAUCUUUGAACGCACAUUGCGCCCCUCGGUAUUCCGUGGGGCAUGCCUGUUCGAGCGUCAUCUACACCCUCAAGCUCUGCUUGGUGCUGGGCGUCUGUCCCGCCUCCUUCGCGCGCGGACUCGCCCCAAAUCCAUUGGCGGCGGCCCUUGCCUCCCUCUCGCGCAGCACAUUGCGCUUCUCGAGGCGCGGCGGACCGCGUCCAGCAAGCAACCGUCACACCGUCUUUGACCUCGGAUCAGGUAGGGAUACCCGCUGAACUUAAGC
rnacentral:misc_RNA from 1 species